rnacentral:rRNA from 1 species
AAUGAACGCUGGCGGCAUGCCUUACACAUGCAAGUCGAACGGCAGCAUGACCUAGCUUGCUAGGUUGAUGGCGAGUGGCGAACGGGUGAGUAAUGCAUCGGAACGUGCCUUUUAGUGGGGGAUAACGUAGCGAAAGUUACGCUAAUACCGCAUAUUCUCUGAGGAGGAAAGCAGGGGACCUUCGGGCCUUGCGCUAGAGGAGCGGCCGAUGUCGGAUUAGCUAGUUGGUGAGGUAAAGGCUCACCAAGGCAACGAUCCGUAGCGGGUCUGAGAGGAUGAUCCGCCACACUGGGACUGAGACACGGCCCAGACUCCUACGGGAGGCAGCAGUGGGGAAUUUUGGACAAUGGGCGCAGGCCUGAUCCAGCCAUGCCGCGUGAGUGAAGAAGGCCUUCGGGUUGUAAAGCUCUUUCGGCUGGGAAGAAAUCGCACCCUCUAAUACAGGGUGUGGAUGACGGUACCAGCAUAAGAAGCACCGGCUAACUACGUG